UGGUGGAGUGAUUUGUCUGGUUAAUUCCGUUAACGAACGAGACCUCGACCUGCUAACUAGUACCUUGAAUCUCGAUUCAAGGGACUUCUUAGAGGGACUAUCGGAUGUUCAGCCGAAGGAAGUGCGAGGCAAUAACA
rnacentral:rRNA from 1 species